rnacentral:rRNA from 1 species
CCUACGGGACGCAGCAGUGGGGAAUAUUGGGCAAUGGGCGCAAGCCUGACCCAGCAACGCCGCGUGAAGGAAGAAGGCUUUCGGGUUGUAAACUUCUUUUCUGAGGGACGAAGAAAGUGACAGUACCUCAGGAGGAAGCUCCGGCUAACUAUGUGCCAGCAGCCGCGGUAAUACAUAGGGAGCGAGCGUUAUCCGGAUUUAUUGGGUGUAAAGGGUGCGUAGACGGGAAAUUAAGUUAGUUGUGAAAUCCCUCGGCUUAACUGAGGAACUGCAACUAAAACUGAUUUUCUUGAGUACUGGAGAGG